rnacentral:rRNA from 1 species
CCUUCCGGUUUUAUUUUAUUGGUUUCUAAAGCUGGGGUAAUGAUUAAUAGGGACAGUUGGGGUCGGUCGUAUUGAAUCGUCAGAGGUGAAAUUCUAGGAUUGAUUCAAGACGAACUGGUGCGAAAGCGUCCGACAAGGAUGUUUCCGUUAAUCAAGAACGAAAGUUGGGGGAUCGAAGAUGAUCAGAUACCGUCGUAGUCCUAACCAUAAACUAUGUGGACCAAGGAUCCGAGGAUGUUCCAAUGGAUGACUCUCCGGGCACUUUGUGAGAAAUCAGAGUAUUUGCAUUCCGGGGGGAGUAUGGCCGCAAGACUGAAACUUAAAGGAAUUGACGGAAGGGCACCACCAGGAGUGGAAUCUGCGGCUUAAUUUGACUCAACACGGGGAAAC